AGUCCUGUGAGCAGAUACUAGAGUACACUUCAGGUGCAGAAGCAGUAGGCAAGAAAGUUCUGCAGAAGGGACUGGGUUUUCCAUACCCCUGGGGGAGAAGGAGGACAACAAAUAUAUCACAUGGAGCAAAAGCACUGCACCAAGAUUGAAUCUACAGAUGGCGACUAAAAUCUUCUUGCGGCUCAAGUCACCAGACAGUGAUUCAGUCAGGUCAACCAUGUGGGGAACAUUGGCAGAGUAAUUCACAUACUAUGCAAUCCUGACUGAAACGAGCUGCUGAUAAAUAACAUACUGCAGCCUCCAGUCUCUGACGCUCAUUGACCAAUAAAUUAAUUCUUU